UCAGAUUAUUUACAAAAGAAAAUUUUACCACAUCUCAAGAUUGUUUUCCUAAAUUGAAAAGAUUAAAAAAAAAAGAAAAAGUAGUUAAUCAGCUUCUUCAUCAUACAGGCAGGCAGUAAACCAUUUAGCAUGCUUGAUUUUUGUAGAGUCAUGCUGGUAACACCUUGUCAAAGAGACAUCUUUAAUGACCGACCUAGUUAUUAGUAUAAAACUUGAUUAAGAAAAAUCUAUAGGGAAUGAAAAGCAAUUCAGCACAUGCAUGGAUCAAAGUUCAUGAAAAAGAUACAACACAAUUCAUGUGUUGUGGAUAUCUCAAUUUUAAAUCAACAGGCUAAAAUUGCAAGCCAAAAAAAUUUCUAAUUACAGUUUCACAGUUAUCAGUAAAGAUAUAUAUAGACAACACACACUAAACCUAAUCUACCAUUCUCCCCCCACCACAAACACACACAAAAACAGAGAAUCUACCCUUCUCCCCCAACACACACACGCACACACACAACAACAACAAACGCAAACAACCUAAUCUACCCUUCUCCCCCAGCAAACAAAUACACACAAGAAAGGUAGCUCUGCUCCCUAUAUAUAUCACACUUAUAAGUCAUCCUAAAUUACUUAUCAGAUUGAUAAAUAGCUUGCUAGAUUAAAUUUUCUAUAUUCUAACUCCCAAAUCACUACAAACAACUAUGGAAUUGAAAUUCUUGUUGGUGAUAAGCUUUCCAUUUUGUUCCCUUGAUGCUUAUGAUUCACUCGAUCCGAGUGGAAAUAUAACAAUUAAAUGGGACUUGGUGCAGUGGACGGCAGAUGCAUAUAUUUGUUGAUGAGAGAGCUUACACAUCAACUUAUCGGGAAGAGCUGAAAUAUUAUCGUUGGUCGCCGCUAGAGGAUCACAGACGACGGAUCAACAUAUUGGAUUGGUGGAGGAGUAAUGAAACACAAUAUCCUGUGCUUUCAAGAUUAGCUAGAGAUAUCUUAAAUGUUCCAAUGUCAGCCGUUGCAUCAGAGAGCGCCUUUAGUCAAGGACGACAGCAGCUUGAAGACAACCGACACUCAUUGGAAAACAAAGAAUGAAACCGGAGUCGAGCGACGAGCUGAAACUUGAAGAAAUUAUGUCUUCACGGGAGAACUCAACAGAAUCAAGUCAAAUGCAUGGUUUUGCCCCCAUUGACUUCGACUAUCCUAUGCAAGUUCCUGUUAAUAUUAACAUGAAUGAGUUGGCAAAAAUGAUGCAUAAUUUGUAGAUUUUUUAUUCAUGUAAAUUAUAAAUUUUGGAUCAUUUUAUAAUGAAUAAAAUUUCCCAAAUUCAUUCA